rnacentral:rRNA from 1 species
GGUAACGGGUCCAAGCUUGCUGGAUGCCCGACGAGCGGCGGACGGGUGAGUAAUGCAUAGGAAUCUGCCCAGUCGUGGGGGAUAACCUGGGGAAACCCAGGCUAAUACCGCAUACGUCCUACGGGAGAAAGCGGGGGCUCUUCGGACCUCGCGCGAUUGGAUGAGCCUAUGUCGGAUUAGCUAGUUGGUGAGGUAACGGCUCACCAAGGCGACGAUCCGUAGCUGGUCUGAGAGGAUGAUCAGCCACACCGGGACUGAGACACGGCCCGGACUCCUACGGGAGGCAGCAGUGGGGAAUAUUGGACAAUGGGCGCAAGCCUGAUCCAGCCAUGCCGCGUGUGUGAAGAAGGCUUUCGGGUUGUAAAGCACUUUCAGUGGGGAAGAAAGCGUGCCGGCCAAUACCCGGUACGGACGACAUCACCCACAGAAGAAGCACCGGCUAACUCCGUGCCAGCAGCCGCGGUAAUACGGAGGGUGCGAGCGUUAAUCGGAAUUACUGGGCGUAAAGCGCGCGUAGGCGGCUAAGUAAGCCGGUUGUGAAAGCCCCGGGCUCAACCUGGGAAUGGCAUCCGGAACUGUUUAGCUAGAGUGCAGGAGAGGAAGGUAGAAUUCCCGGUGUAGCGGUGAAAUGCGUAGAGAUCGGGAGGAAUACCAGUGGCGAAGGCGGCCUUCUGGACUGACACUGACGCUGAGGUGCGAAAGCAUGGGUAGCAAACAGGAUUAGAUACCCUGGUAGUCCAUGCCGUAAACGAUGUCGACUAGCCGUUGGGUCCCUUGAGGACUUAGUGGCGCAGUUAACGCGAUAAGUCGACCGCCUGGGGAGUACGGCCGCAAGGUUAAAACUCAAAUGAAUUGACGGGGGCCCGCACAAGCGGUGGAGCAUGUGGUUUAAUUCGAUGCAACGCGAAGAACCUUACCUACCCUUGACAUCCUGCGAACCCUCCGGAGACGGAGGGGUGCCUUCGGGAACGCAGAGACAGGUGCUUGCAUGGGCUUUCCGCCAGCUCGUGUUGUGA